AGGAGCUCUGGGAGUUCAAAUGAAACAGAAAGUGGAAGUAGCAGUUCUGAUGAUGGAAAAGCAAAUUGACGUGUUGCAAAGGCCAAAAAUAGACCUCCAAUGAGGAAAAGUUUACCAGAUCUGUCACGAAAGGAACCUGAAUCAAAGGUGAAAAUUAAGGAUCAAAAUUCAAAGAAAACAACCUUAGAAGAGCAAGAACUUGUUAAAAAUGGGGUUGUGAAGGACAAGGAGAAGGAAAAAGAGCUUCAAUUACUUACUGCAUAACCUACAUUCUGAGUUGCAUCACCAAGCAUUCACCUCAGUACAGAAUUCUAAUGGUGUGGCGUAUAUUGGGAGGGAUUGCCACCUCUCUCCUCUUUUCAGCCUUUGAAUCAUGGCUUGUUGCUGAACACAACAAGAGAGGUUUUGAGCAACAAUGGCUAUCAAUUACAUUCUCU